CUGAUCAUGUAGAACAUGGCUCUUAAGCCAACACAGGACAUGAUAAAACCUGAUAUACAGAACAAUGUACUUUGUAAAAUAGAUGAUUGCAAAACACUUUGAAUGUGUACAGCAUUUAUAUGGGUGCUUAAUGAUCACAGCAAUUAUUUUACAACUUAAUUGUGGGAAAAUUAAAGGAAUAAAGUAGCUUAACAAGUUCAAGAAUUUAUCAGACUCUGGAGCACGAGGAAGAUAAACUGGAGAGUUUGUAGCUUAGCAUUGCCUCCUGCCACUGUUAGACCCACAGUUAGACUUCUUCUUAGUGUUAAAGCUGGAGACUUGGGGCUGCAUGCUUGCUAGGCAAGCAUUCCACCAACUGAAAUACAUCGACAGCAUGGUGGCACCUUUUGUGUUGGGGAUUUCUAAAACUGAAGUCACUGGCUAACCGUGCUGGUCCCGGGCACUCUGUGAAGUGGACUGAAGGCACCAGCACCUUGUCUUUAGAGACAGGGUCUCUCAUUGGCUUGCAUCUCACUGUGGCCUGUAAGCCCCAGGUUUCUGGAUGCUUCUGCUCCCCCAGCCCUGGGAUUCUAAGAAGGGGCCACCAAGGCUGGCUUUCUGCGUGCACACUGGUGACUGAACUCAGGUCCUUAUACUUGCAUGAUGCUCGGAGCCGCUCAAGACAGUUUCACCACUGGAGAGCCCAGCAGUGUUCAGUCUUGCCUUGGCUCUUCGUGACAGAACGUCCCUCUCUGAGAGCCGAUGCCUUGGUCAGGCUUCCCCCUCACCCUCAAAUCCUGUUCUCUUUGUACUAACAAGGGUCAAACUUGAUUGAAUUCUGAGAAUAAUCAGAAAAAUGAAAUUGGUGUAGGGGCGUGGACUUUACCUAUGACUUCCUUAUGACAAGAAACCUUUACCUGUGAGACCUGUUCCUACCCUAAUUGUUGGAUAAUGAGCACCCUACUGAAAAUUCCUUCUUUUGAACUGAAUGCCAUGUAUUUUCAUUUUAUGCUAUUUUUAUUCCAAAAAACCUCUCCCCAUCUCCAUCUGCAUUGCUCUAGCCCUCAUAAAGAAGGUUAAGAACAAGAGGCAUCCAGAAGCCUCUCAUGAUGAGAAGCAUCAAGCCCUCACCGUUUCCUUGAACACAUGUACAAUUAUUUCAUUCAGUAACGUAUCACAAAAUGACCUGAACAAACAAAGGAUUUCCUAUUCUCCUGGCCUCUAUAAUACGGUUGACUCAUGCUGCAUUUUCUUAGAAACAUUUUUUAGUAGAUUGAGAUUUUUUUCUUUUAAUUUGGAGCCACCUAAUUUCUGUUUGGAUGCAUCCGCUUUGCCCUACCUAACUUUGGAGUAGGAGAUCCAUGGACUCGGUCCUCAGAAUGCUGCAGGCUAAUUUUCUUCUCUCUUUUAGCCCAUCUCCAUCUGAGACAAUUAUCUUUGACGUCUGGAGAUGGAGUCCAUCUUUGCUCAAGAGGACUAGCCCAUCUUGGAGGAAUUUUAAGUGUUCUGCUGGAUACAACUUGUACCGACACGUGUUUAUUUCCACAGUGCACCUGUUCCUCCGGCGGUGGGACCUCUCCACUCAAGCCAGCCUCAAGCACAGCCUAAGCACAGCCCCACGCCUCCUCCUUCAAAAGAGCAAAAAUAGCCGGCAUGUACUAACAGCUUAUCAAGAGCCCCAAACUAUCCCAGGCGUUUUUAUGUACUUUAUCUCAUCUCAUCCCCACAGCAGCUUGGGAAAAUAGCCAGAAAAGAAACUUGAGGCUCGGAGAGACAAAGCCAGUUGCUCGACGUCGCUCUGUGACGAAGCAGAGCAUGAAGGAAGCCUAGUCAUCUAGGUCCGGGGUCUGAGGUCCUGCAUAAAGAUGGCGACUGUUAUUUGUGUGGUUUGAAGGAGUUGAGGGCAUGUGGAUGAAAUCAGGUCUUUAAUGGCCAAGGCCUUGGUCAAUUCUUUAUUACUGUCUUCUCCGCAGCUGUGAGGGGCACACCAUGCUAGGUUGCCCUCAACACCAAUUCCACAAUGGCACUUCGAUAAGGGGAUAUGAUAGAACAAUGUGCUAUAGAACCUUAAAUCUAUGACAUCACCUGUAUGACAUGUUUACCUGCAUACAUCCAUUCAUGUCUAUGGAACAUUUAGAUGUAUAUAUCCAUGUACAGGUAUAUACACAUAUGAAGAAAAUUAAUUAAAUUUUCUUCAACAUAUAUGAGACCAGAUGUAGGUGCUGUCUUUGAAGGGGACAACUUCCUGAUAAGACAGGACACUUCUGACUGCCUGCUGUAAGUCCUCUGGGAAUUUGUGUGAGUAUGCAUGUGUGUGUGUGUGCACAUUUCCACAAGAUUAAUUCUUUUUCUUGCUACUCACGGUACCGUUCUCACAAAUCUGUGAUUCACAGCAGGAAUGCAGCCCGGAACUUCUGCUAUGUAAGCAGCUGUAGAUGCUUCAAAUACCACUGGACAUGUGAUCCAGGGCUCACUAUAAAUUUACCCCUAAAAAUAAAGCAACAAGUGACCGAAUGGCACUAAGAAUUAGUCACUGCAAUGCGUAAAUGGAAUGUGCCAGGCUCUACCUCAAAAUUCCCUUUAUAAAAAGAUGGUUAUAAUUAAAACCCGAAAGAAAUACCUGAAGGUGCUGUGUUGGAGUCAAUGUGCUGGAAUUUUUGUGAAAAGAAUGCUAUUGUUAUUUUAAAGGAGAGAUACACAGAGAGAGGACUUUCCAUGACUUCUAUAGCAUUGGAAAUAGAGUGGCAUUAUUGCAUCACCGAGAACUGCAUUCUAUAAAGGAAUUAACUGGACUCAGGCUUGGUACUCCGGGAGGAUUUUGAAGGCUGAGAGGCUCUUGGUUAAGCUGUUUGCCAUAGAGAGAAAGAAAUUCACGUCUAAAAUUUGCACCACAGCUUGUGACAGAUUAGCUUGGUGAUUCAGAACUGGGAAUAACCUCGCGAGAGUGCCAUGCAUCUCAUGCUUCCAAAAGUCGGUGUCAACUGUGAAAGUCGUGAAAAAGCGAAAACCCGACAUAAGGGGAGAAAGUGGGAAUCCGAAGGCUGUCACUUCGUGUGACCUGCCCUUUCUUCUAUGUCUGGAGUAUGGAGUUUAAGUCCAAGGGCCACUUUCCCUGUAACAGUCUGACAUGAACAAAAGAAGGAAAAUGGGGAAGAGAGGACGAGAUGGAAAGGGAAAGGGAGACGGGGAGAGGGAGACUGCGGGGGAGUGACAGAAUGAAGACAGAAGAGAAGGAAGAAGAAAGAAAAAAAAAGAGGGGAAAAUAAACACUAACUACCACUUCUAAAAAGAUCAAGCAGCUCCUAAAGGCUUCCAUGGUGCUGUUUGGGAUGGAGAUGGAGACCAGUGGGAGGAGGAUGGAGAAAAGGAAGGGAAAUUGGAAGAUAAUUAUCAUCUAAAUAGGUUAAAUGCAUGUAUGAAAAUGUCUAUUUUGUACAAUUAAUACUUUAAAAAGAGAGAGAGAAACUUCCUGAUUCUGAGUAUACCACAGGUAAAAGGCUCGGCCCAUCAGAAAGAAAAUUUGAUUGAAGAUCAAUUUUUGGACAUGGGAAAAGUGAGGGAGAGUUCUUAAAGCCACUUGAAUUACCGGAGAUGAAAGGUUAAAAGCCUUAAAGACCAAAGACUACAUUAGCAACUGAACAGCAAACACCAUCAACAGAAACACGCAGAAAUUAGCAGAACGAAUGUUAAAUCUCGAAGAGCAGGAAAAGGAAUUCAUUUCAGCGGCCCAAAAAGAUUUCCUUUUCUCUGUAUUCCAAAAUCAAUUGUUUAGUGGAUGGGAGUCCUAAUGGGUAGUUUCUAUUCAGUUCUUUAAAACAAGCACACAAUCCGCUGUGGGCUGCACAGGGCAGAGAUCAAAGCAGGUAGAUUAUCAGACAGUUACCCAGUGCUCUGCACUCUGUCA